AGGACCUUGUCUCUUAGCACAAGGAUUGUGCCAAAGAAGAAAAGGAGGAACAGGGAAGCAAACUCAUACAAGGAAGUCUACUCUUGCUCAGCAGCUUGGCAGCUCAGGUGAUGUUCCCAGAGCUUGAUGUAUCCCCAGAGAGUCAGUGGAAUUUUGUAGGUGCUGUGGCAGUCCUGCAGAGCCUUUCCAUUCCCAGAAGACAUAAAGAUGGAAAAAACCCUGCCUACUGGAGCUGGUGGACAGCGUGCUGCACCAAUUCAAUCCCAUGUGCCACAUCAUUUUGGGAAGCUGAGCCUUUGUGGCUGGUUUUAUUUUCAAACCAAAUCAUGAGAUUGACACCUUUAAUUAGCUGCACUCAAGCUACUUGAAUCAGGUUGUGCU